CUAUUAGAAUUAAGAAUGUCAAACUCACAUAAUAAAUAUUUAAUCUUGUAUGCGAUUCAUGCAAUUUAUUGAACUUAGCGAUGAAAAAAUCAUACUUUGUCAUUUUUAUCUAUUUGAUUCACGCAGCUAAUAGUUUAAGUAGAAAAUUACCCAAAAUGAACUAUUUUGAUUUUACUUCAUUUUAGGUAGAAUAUACUUAAUUUUGGUUGAAAAUUUCCUUCGGUGUUUUUCAGACUGAUCAUUGACGGGCGCGAGCUACUGCCGCCAUUACUAUUUCAUCUCUCAGGCGGUGUGCUCGUGAAUUGUAUCGCGUGUGAAAAUUGAGUUUUUUCCGUCGAUUUUUGUUCGUCAUCGCCCGUUUCCGUUCCGCGAUUUAUUCUGUGUUGUCCGGCUGACGAUUGUUGUGGUGCUGCUGUUUUUGUGCUUCGGAAAUCGGGCUCGGUCAACGAAUUUUGUUCGGUUCCCGUUCUGCAACGACUUCUUCCGUUCGUUCCGGUUCCCGUCCUGCGACGACUUCUUUCGUUCGUUCCGGUGCUGGUUAGCUGUGGUGCUGCUGGUUCGCUGCCGUUCCCCACGCAGCCGGUUUUCCUGGAGGAUUCCCGGUACCGGAUCUGGCCGGUUCACGUGCUCUUUGCCCUGAUUGAGCUGCUGUCAGUGUGCCCAAGCUAGCCCGCGCCACGCUUUUCGCACUGUGUUUUGUGCUGCUGGUUCGGUGCCGUUCCUCGGUCAUCCGUUCCCGUUCUGCGACGACUUCUUCCGUUCGUUCCGGUUCUUGUUCGGCUGACCUUCGUUGUGGUGCUGCUGGUUCGCUGCCGUUCCCGACGCAGCCGGUUUUCCUGGAGGAUUCCCGGUACCGGAUCUGGCCGGUUCACGUGCUCUUCGCACUGAUUGAGCUGCUGUCAGUGUGCCCAAGCUAGCCCGCGCCACGCUUUUCGCACUGUGUUUUGUGCUGCUGGUUCGGUGCCGUUCCUCGGUCAUCCGUUCCCGUUCUGCGACGACUUCUUCCGUUCGUUCCGGUUCUUGUUCGGCUGACCUUCGUUGUGGUGCUGCUGGUUCGCUGCCGUUCCCGACGCAGCCGGUUUUCCUGGAGGUUUCCCGGUACCGGAUCUGGCCGGUUCACGUGCUCUUUGCCCUGAUUGAGCUGCUGUCAGUGUGCCCAAGCUAGUCCGCGCCACGCUUUUCGCACUGUGUUUUGUGCUGCUGGUUCGGUGCCGUUCCUCGGUCAUCGAGUUUUGCUCCGUUCCCGUUCUGCGACGACUUCUUCCGUUCGUUCCGGUUCCCGUCCUGCGACGACUUCUUUCGUUCGUUCCGGUGCUGGUUAGCUGUGGUGCUGCUGGUUCGCUGCCGUUCCCCACGCAGCCGGUUUUCCUGGAGGAUUCCCGGUACCGGAUCUGGCCGGUUCACGUGCUCUUUGCCCUGAUUGAGCUGCUGUCAGUGUGCCCAAGCUAGUCCGCGCCACGCUUUUCGCACUGUGUUUUGUGCUGCUGGUUCGGUGCCGUUCCUCGGUCAUCCGUUCCCGUUCUGCGACGACUUCUUCCAUUCGUUCCGGUUCUUGUUCGGCUGACCUUCGUUGUGGUGCUGCUGGUUCGCUGC